AGCAGCCGCGGUAAUUCCAGCUCCAAUAGCGUAUAUUAAAGUUGUUGCAGUUAAAAAGCUCGUAGUUGAAUUUCGGGAUUGACGUGAUAGUCAUGCCUUAAGGGGUAUGAACUGUUACUGUUGAUUUCUCACCUUCUGGAGAAACUUGAUGUCCUUUAUUGGGUGUCUUGCGGAUCCAGGACCUUUACCUUGAAAAAUUAGAGUGUUUAAAGCAGGCAUUUUUGCUCGAAUACAUUAGCAUGGAAUAAUAGAAUAGGACGGCAUGGUUCUAUUUUGUUGGUUUCUAGGAUCACCGUAAUGAUUAAUAGGGAUAGUUGGGGGCAUUAGUAUUCAAUUGUCAGAGGUGAAAUUCUUGGAUUUAUUGAAGACUAACUACUGCGAAAGCAUUUGCC
rnacentral:sRNA from 1 species